UUGAAUUAAAAUAAAUAAAUAAUAGGGUUCAUCUCAUCCAAUACAAUGAAAAACUAGUCUAGCAUAUUAAUAUAUAAAUUUCAAGAAGAAUAAUAGAAAAAUAUCACCCGGAUCAUGAAAGAAUACAAAAGUCUUGAUCUUCACGUCCAAAGUUGAAUUCUUCAAAACUUGAUGUAAUUGAACUUCAAUUCCUUGCUAUGGCUGAUCUUCUCUCCCAAAAUAUAGCAAUUGGCCCCUUGUUCUUGAUUAAUUUGAUGAAACUAUUGUGUAUGAAGAGGCAAGAGAGAGACCCUUUCAUUGCUUCCCAUAUCUUGUAUUUUUCUGAUGAAAUUAGGUCAAAACUUACGUCCAAAUUAUUUUUCAAAAGAGUUUGAAUCAAAUAAGGAAAGUUGUAUUCGCGCGCACAUAAUUUUGUCUCUACACAGCCUUUAAUAUUUUGAUCAUAACUUUCUCUUUCGGUGUCCGAUUAAGGUGAUUCAAAGUGCAUUGGAAAGAUAAUUAAAAGAUCUACAAUUUUUCCAAUUCAAACGUUCUCCACUCGAAAAAUGGGUCUCAAGUUGACCAAAAAUCUUGAAAAUAUCCUAUAUGAUUGAAGGUCGAUUUAUGGUAAUAUUCUAAUCAUAUCCCUUUGCAUUCAAUUGACUCCUAUCAAUCUUCAAAGUAUCUUUUAUGGUCCAAAUCAACCAUUAAAUAUUUACACUUUGGUCCCCAUACUUUGGAUUUGCUUUAUUUAGCCAUUUUCCGUUCUUUUUUCCAAUUCUUCUUUGAAACAUGAACUUUUCCUAAUAAAAGCAAUAAAUAGCAAAUCAGGUACUAAUCCGUUCAAAGAAUAACAAAAUAUCAUUAUUUAAGAUCCCAAAUAAGUGUAGAAACUACACUUAUCAUGAUUGAAUCUUAAAUCGUCCGUAGUUGUAAAUAAUAACGAAAUACGGAUAUCGUCAUUACGAAUAGACCAUCACGUGCGACAUUUCUUACUUGUAAGUAACUGAUCUCACAAGCUGAAGUGUGGUGAAACUUGAAUGAAUACGUGGAUAUUUUGUUAUAGAACAAAACAUUAGAGACUCGUCGAGAGAUUCCACACUGAUAACUAUCUGAGUGUCAGUGGUUAAUCUCUAACGUUCAGUAGUGAAAUUGGUCAUUUGACUUGAGAUCAUCAUAAUGCCUUAUAUGUGGACAUUCAUACUUUAACGGCGUUGGAUGUUGCUCUGCAAAGGGCCGCUAAUAUGGCAUCGUUCGGGUAUGUCGAGAAUCAUAUGAAGGUUGUGAAUGACCAAUAGAGGAUUCGUUACUCUUAGAUAGUAAGAGAUUAUGAUUUGCAUUUCAUCCAAUUGAGUCAAUAACGAAAUCCUUGACCGAGGUGUACUCAUAAGUCGAAAAGGAUUUUUCGACUUAUAUUGACUUAAUAGUGGAGUGAAAGAUAUGAUCGAUAAUAGGGAUUGACACAUUUCCAUAUCUCGUAAUUGAUAGGAUCAUAUUGACGAAGAGAUUAUAAUUUCACGAUAAACGAACAAGUUUGGUUUUGUCAUACCAAGUGACAUUUUUCGUCACAUGUAUUGCCCUGACACAUUGCUAGAUGUCAAUCUGGGAUGACGAGUGUGAAUUGGUGAUAAAUUAAAAGAGUUCUUUAACUUAUCAAUUUUGAUUAGAUCAAAAUAAUAUUUCAAGUCGUUAGGCAUCGUCAUCGGGAACCUAAUGGGUCGCAUGCAAAAGGAAAACUGAAAAAUUGUGAUUUGUCAAUUAAUUAAUUUAACAAGCGUUGAUAAAUUAAUUAAUUGAGCUUCUUAUUUAUAGGCUCGAAUUAAUUAAUUGGAUUAAUUAAUUCACGGAUCGAAUUUAGUUAAAUAGCUUAAUUAAAUGUUGGACCGAGUCAGGCCAAGCUCGUUUGGGUUUAUAUAAAUAAGCGGGUAGGGUUUGUGAUUUGUGGAGAAUUCAUUAUUCUUGCUAACACAAGAAAAAAACUCUACUCUUACAAUAUUGUUCUUUGUUUAGAUCACCGUUGGAGGUUGGACAAUUGGACAGCUGUGGGAGGCAGAUCAAGGUUGCUGGAACAAAGAAAAAACAAAGGGGUUUGUAGAUCUAGAAAAUGUAUCACUUUUAUUACAAUUUCUAUCUAAACACAAAGAGAUCUGUGGUGGGAAUCGAAAAUCGUUUUAAUUUUUCGUUGCGCAUGUUAAAUAGAUUCCCAACAACAACAACUAGAUAGAUACACUCAUUGUAUCUAGGCCAAUUGCGAUGAGCAAAAUACCACCCCAAACACCCGAAUAUGGCUCGUUCGCUCCAAUGAUUUUUCUAUACCCAUGUGGAAAUCCUAAUUUGUAAGCACUAAAACAGAUAUAUAUACAUUGAAACACAUGCCCACUAAAUGCUAUCAUCACUAUGGAUCCUAGAUUGAUCCUCGAGACCUCUACCGCAUACGACCUCAAUGCCACAAACUGUUCUUUGAUAGUCUUGUUACACAAUUGCUUCGCAUAUCUUCUCACCUACCAAGCGACGUUUUUAGUAAUAUUAAUAUUCAAGUUCUCUUUCACAGUUGCUUGCAUACUUUUGGGUUUUCCACUCCGAAUUUGCCUUAAAUUGCUCCAUAUGUUGAUGGACUAUGAAAAUUAAGUUACAAUGACGAUUGUACUGAUCUCUACAGCAUGUGUGUUGAGGCGUAUAUGACUUCACUUGAGCGGUUUCUAAAUUAUUUAUCCUAAAAGCCCAUUCUCCAUCAGCACUCUUAUAGAUGCCUUGAACUCUUCUUUUGUCAUCUGUCUUACACUUCACAUUAUAUCCGUUUACUGUACCAUAAGUUCGAAUCGCUUUCCUAAAUUCUUGUACAGACUGAACAACUGACUUGUUUGAAACUUUGGAUCGCGCAUAUCUAUUUUAGCCAUAAACUUUGAAAAUCGACAUCCAACCUCAUCGUCAUGUGACAUAUCAGACAAUAGUUCUUCAGAUUAUAAAUAUUCCAAAUCAUCGGCCUCCUAGUAUUUGUUGUGUAUCACUACCGCAUUAUCCUCUUCUUCUUGUUCGAUUGCCUCUAUCACAACCUAACUCAAUUCCCUCCUCACAUUUUUUUCAAAUUGCAUAUUGUUUGUACCAGGCGAUAUGUCUUUGUCAAAAUCAUUGAAGUCAGUGUCAUCCUCCGUAUCCAUCAUGAAAUAAGAAAUUGAAAAUGAUCAACAACAGUUUUAUAUGUACUUUCUAUUCUAACUGAUUUACUAAAAGAAUAAUAUGCACAAUAUAAAAAGUAGCAAAAGCAAGAAAAUUAUCUAUCAGACAACUACAACAACGAAAGAAACAAUGUUGUAAUCAAGUGCGUAUGAAAUGGAAAAUGAUGGACAAGAAAGUCAACAAUGAGAACGAUAUAACGAAUUUUUUUAAACAUUAAGAUAAACCACAAUAUCCGUGCAGCAAAGAGGAAAAAAGAUGAAACAAAAAAAAAAAAAAAAAACCAAGAUUCAUGCUAUCAAGUGCUUAUUUUCAUACAAACAUAGCAUGUGCGGUAAAGAUGAAAAGAAGAAACAAAAAGAAAAAAUAUGAUAGGAUUUACCUCGAUGUGGUCCCUCUUUGUGCACUUUUUGAAAUCCCCAAGAUUCAUGGUUAGGGUGUGGCCUUCGAUAGUAAUGGAGGUUCGAUUUUGAGUUAGGGUGGGUUCAUGGCAUUUACAAAAGUUCACCUUCGAAGCUAUAAUUGGUCAAGUGUUUUAGAGAGAUUAGGGUUCGAGUUUGGGAUUUCAGUGUUGAAAAGGGUGAGAUGUGUUUG
rnacentral:lncRNA from 1 species